CAAAAAUUGAGGUCCUGAAGACCCAAAAUCCUUUAAAAUUGGCACCAAAAAAUUGAGGUUCGGAAGGCCCAAAAUCCCAUCAAUUUAGACCCAAAAAUUGGGGUUCUGAAGGCACAAAAUCCCAUCAAUUUGGCCCCAAAAAUUGAGGUCCCGAAGACUCGAAAUCCCAUCAAUUUUGACCCAAAAAUUGAGGUUCUGAAGACCUGAAAUCCCUUAAAUUUGGCCCCAAAAAAUUGAGGUUCUGAAGACCCAAAAUCCCAUCAAUUUUGACCCAAAAAAUUGAGGUUCUGAAGACCCGAAAUCCCAUCAAUUUUGACCCAAAAAUUGAGGUUCUGUAGACCUGAAAUCCUUUAAA